UACGUAGGGACCAAGCGUUGUUCGGAUUUACUGGGCGUAAAGGGCGCGUAGGCGGCAAUUCAAGUCAUCUGUGAAAUCUCCGGGCUUAACUCGGAACGGUCAGCUGAUACUGCUUUGCUAGAGUGCAGAAGGGGCAAUCGGAAUUCUUGGUGUAGCGGUGAAAUGCGUAGAUAUCAAGAGGAACACCUGAGGUGAAGACGGGUUGCUGGGCUGACACUGACGCUGAGGCGCGAAAGCUAGGGUAGCAAACGGG
rnacentral:rRNA from 1 species